rnacentral:rRNA from 1 species
AUAAACGCUGGCGGCGUGCUUAACACAUGCAAGUCGAACGGAGUGGUCUCCCGAGGAUUGAUGGUGCUGCACCUGAUUGACUCAUUGAAUCACUUAGUGGCGGACGGGUGAGUAACGCGUGGGAAACCUGCCCUAUACUGGGGGAUAGCAGUUGGAAACGACUGAUAAUACCGCAUAAGCGCACAGGAUCGCAUGGUCUAGUGUGAAAAAACUCCGGUGGUAUAGGAUGGUCCCGCGUCUGAUUAGCUAGUUGGUGAGGUAACGGCCCACCAAGGCGACGAUCAGUAGCCGGCCUGAGAGGGUGUACGGCCACAUUGGGACUGAGACACGGCCCAAACUCCUACGGGAGGCAGCAGUGGGGAAUAUUGGACAAUGGGGGAAACCCUGAUCCAGCGACGCCCGCGUGAACGAUGAAGUAUUUCGGUAUGUAAAGCUCUAUCAGCAGGGAAGAUGAUGACGGUACCUGACUAAGAAGCACCGGCUAAAUACGUGCCAGCCGCUGC